GUCUUUCUGAUAAUAACUUUGAUAGGGACACCUGAUGUCAAUGAGUGAUCUAUCAUGUUUUUUACAUUCAGUU